rnacentral:lncRNA from 1 species
GGGCGCAAAACAGGAGAUUCAUUCGAAUCCUCCUUUUCUCUCAAAAUAGGGAUCCUUGCACUGGCAGAUGGGCGGUCGAGGAUGCACUUAUGGUGAUGCAACUACAGCUCCUUGAUUCAACGGUCGACGGUGAUGGAUAGGACCGAAUGGUGCCGGAAGAACAAUGAAUAUGGAUGGUCUAACAAAAAAUAGAGUACUUUGAGCAUCCAAUUUUCUCCUAAAAAAUUAGUAAAUAAAACUCGAAAAUCAUAACCUAUGUUCAAGAAAAAAUCAAAACGAAAAUUUUCUUAAAAGAUUACCCGGCUCUUAGGGGUGUUUGGGCCAUAAAUCCUCUGCCACAAUGCCUUCAAAUCGAGAAUAGAAAAUAAGAGAAAAAUAGAAGAAAAUAAGGAGAGGAAGAGAGACUUUCCAACGAUGAAUGGUGACUAGAGGUGGUAGAAAUUUCAGAGGAAGCCAAACAUCUAUAUAUACGAAAUUUUAUCUAAAAAAUCUAAUUUAUAUAUAGGAAUCAUGGAAAAGCGCCCCAGGCGGUCCGCCUCUGAGUCAGGGCAUAGGCAAGGUGGCUAAGGCUGUCCAUGUUGAAAAAGUUGAAGAGGAGGUGGUCCAUUAAGAAGAACUCUGGCUUUCGCAAUGGAUUGCACUAGCCGCUAGACCGCCACCACUGUUGCUCCUUGCCUUCGGCACUCAUCUUUGUAAGGAAGAGCCCAUCCUUCUCUUUAAAUGGCUUCAAUCUCGGCUUUGUGAGGUACAAGAUGGAAGAUUACCUCCAACAAACAGACCAACUGGGAGAGGUUAGAUUAUCUCAUCAUCUCUAUCUAAGUCUCUCGGACCCUCGGUUCAGGUAGGGUGUAUGGCCGUCCCUCCACUCCUAGGCAUCCUAUAGAUGUCACAUACACUGUAGCAUAAUGGAACAUUCUCGAUGCAAAGCUACUCAAUUCUCGACGCUUAAAUGCAUCGCAAAAAGAACACCGACGCCUCCAAAAGGGUCGAAAAAGCUGGCCCAAAUAAAGAUCCAAGGGAAUAAAUAUGGACAUGUUUAUUUCCAAAUACUUGGUAUCUGAAUUUGAUUUCUAAGAAACUGAGGCUUUGAUUUCUUUGCUCUAAGAAUUUGAGUUCUGCUAUUUAUUUUGGAGGAAGCCGAUGUGCAAGACCUAAAGUAUUAGGUAUCAUAAUAUCAUUAAUUAUUUUUAAUGAUAAUUGUCAUCUAAAUCCUACUUAAACAGCACACAUUUUCCGGGGAGAGCCAGUGAAAGGGCAUAGAAGUAGGCCUUAAAUGCCAUACCUAAGAAUAAGGUAAGAAAGCGAG